CAGAUGACAUUCAGCACCGGUCCGUCGUCCAGCAGCUGAUCGCGUCUUCUCUUCUGUUCCUGCCUUACGGCUAUGUGUGUCCUGGUGAAUGAAGAUGCCUGCAAUCCCUGCCCUGCAGAACAUCCACUGCGAUUCCGCAUCCUUUGGUGCCAGACGCACGCGGCGGAUUUUCCGGCACCCGGCCGUGUCUCGCACAGACGACGUUCAGCACCUGUCGUCCAGCAGCUGAUUAUGUCACUUCUGCUCCUGCCUCACUGCUAUUGGUGUCCUGCUGAAUGAAGAUGCCUGCAAUCUCCGUGCUCCAGUACGUCAACUGCACUCUGCAACCCUAGUCUUGACAUCUGCCGCCCAUCAAG